rnacentral:rRNA from 1 species
AGAGUUUGAUCCUGGCUCAGGACGAACGCUGGCGGUGUGCUUCACACAUGCAAGUCGAGCGAAUGAAGAAGGUAGCUUGCUACUUUUGGAUUUAGCGGCGGACGGGUGAGUAAUAUAUAGGAAUCUGCCCUAGAGCGGGGAACAACAGACCGAAAGGUUUGCUAAUGCCCCAUAGGUACGCAGUCUUCGGAUUGUUUAUUAAAGGAGUAAUCCACUCUAGGAUGAGCCUGUAUCCGAUUAGCUAGUUGGCGGGGUAAAGGCCCACCAAGGCUACGAUCGGUAGUUGGUCUGAGAGGAUGAUCAGCCACAAUGGGACUGAGACACGGCCCAUACUCCUACGGGAGGCAGCAGUGGGGAAUUUUACAUAAUGGGGGAAACCCUGAUGUAGCGACACCGCGUGAACGAAGAAGCCUUUUGGGGUGUAAAGUUCUGUCGGCUGGAACGAAAAAAAUGACGGUACCAGCAAAGGAAGCAUCGGCUAACUACGUGCCAGCAGCCGCGGUAAGACGUAGGAUGCAAGCGUUGUCCGGAUUUAUUGGGCGUAAAGAGUUCGUAGGCGGUUAUUUAAGUCUGGUGUUAAAUACUGUGGCCCAACCACAGAACUGCAUUGGAUACUGGAUGACUUGAGUGCGGUAGAGGCGAGUGGAAUUCCCAGUGUAGCGGUGAAAUGCGUAGA